UACGUAGGGUGCAAGCGUUGUCCGGAAUUAUUGGGCGUAAAGAGCUCGUAGGCGGUCUGUCGCGUCUGCUGUGAAAACUCAGGGCUUAACCCUGAGCUUGCAGUGGGUACGGGCAGACUAGAGUGCGGUAGGGGAGACUGGAAUUCCUGGUGUAGCGGUGAAAUGCGCAGAUAUCAGGAGGAACACCCGGUGGGCGAAGGCGGGUCUCUG
rnacentral:rRNA from 1 species